rnacentral:rRNA from 1 species
UGACCUCAAAUCAGACAAGGCUACCCGCCCAAUUUA